rnacentral:pre_miRNA from 1 species
UGUAAACAUCCUACACUCAGCUAUGACAAGUGGUGGGGCUGGGGGGUGGAUGUUUACU